GUCGAAUCAGAAGCUCCCGAACCGCUAAUCCACUCUAAAACCCUAACGUUGCCAAAGCUCCACCGCAGCUCUAUCGAUCUCGUUCCUUUGAAAUUGAAAAGACCCAAGCUUUCGAUUCAAGAUCAAGCCAGUAAACUAAAGCCUUGCUCCAGUGACCAAAUCGAAGCAGGAAUGAGGCAUCAAUGGCGGUUGUUGCUUCAUCGGAGCUACCGGCGCUCUCAUCUUCCUUACCCGUCUGCUUCUUCUCAUUUUCAGGUAACCUCCAUUUCGCUCCGAUCUCUCUCUUCCUUCCUUCGCCCUCGGCCUGGGGAUGGAGCUUUGGAGCAAACCAAACAACCUCUUGUGUUGCAAUCGCCAUUGGCGUGCUCUGUCAGUCUGGUGAAAUCGGUGAGUCGCAACUUCUCGUCCGAGCCUGCGAUUGAUGUGAAGCCCUCCGAUGAUGUUACGGUGAUCGACGUUUUUAGCAGGUUGAGCGAUAAGGAUGAGAUUAAGAAAUUGUUGGACUUGAGUGGAAUCGUGAUUAACCAUGAUUUGGGGUUGAAGGUUUUGAGGGGGCUCCAGUCCCGCCCUGAUGCUGCGAAAAGGUUUUUCCAGUGGGUUACGGAGGCUGAUGCUGCCAAACUUAGCUCGAAAUCGUAUAACAUGAUGCUGCGUAUUCUGGGUGUUAAUGGAUUUGUUGAUGAGUUUUGGGGUUUGGUUGUUGAUAUGAAGAAGAAAGGAUAUGGUGUAUCGGCUAAUGUUAGGGAUAAAGUGGGUGAGAAGUUUCAGAAAGAUGGACUGCAAGGUGAUUUGGAGAGGCUGAAGGAGCUUUUCGCAUCGGGUUCUAUGGAUAAUUCAGCGGAAAAGGUUUGCCAUAGGGUUUGUAAGAUUGUGUUGAAGGAAGAAUGGAGUGAUGAUGUAGAGAAACGUCUUAGGGAUUUGAAAGUUGAGUUUCAAAGUGAAUUGGUGAAGAUGGCAGUGGAGAAGCUAGACAUGGAACCUCGGAAAGCUUUGUUGUUUUUCAGGUGGAUUGAUGAGUCUGGCCUCUUUAAGCAUGACGAAGGGACCUACAAUGCUAUCGCUAGGGUUUUGGGGAGGGAAAAAUUCCUUGAUAGGUUUAGGAACAUCAUUGAAGAAAUGAGAGGUGCUGGUCAUGAAAUGGAAAUGGAGACUUAUGCUAGGGUUUCAGCAAGGUUCUGCCAGACUAAACUGAUAAAAGAAGCGGUUGAGUUGUUCGAGUUUGCUAUGGCAGGUUCAAACACUCCUACCCCACAUUGCUGCAUUCUGCUGCUCAAGAAAAUUGUUACAGCCAAGGAACUAGAAAUGGGUUUGUUUUCUAGGGUUGUGAAAGCUUAUACCGAGAGUGGUAAUGCUUUGACGGAUACAAUGCUGAAUUCUGUUCUCAAGUCUAUAAGAAGUGUUGAUAGGUUUGACCAAAGCAAUGAGGUGCUGAAAGUGAUGAAGGAAGGGGGCUACAUUCCUGGUGGUGGCCUGCAGAGUGUCAUUGCAUCGGGGCUUAGUCGCAAGGGUAAGAAAGAUGAAGCCAAAGAACUCGAGAACUUUAUGGAAGCCUCGGGAAACAAUCUAGAUGAUAAGGCAUUGGCAUCUUUAGUUGAAGGCCACUGUUAUGCUGGGGAACUCGAACAAGCUUCGGAGUGUUUCAAGAAUAUGGUUGGCAAAGAAGGGGUCUCUUAUGCUGGUUACACAUUCGAGAGGUUGGUACUUGCUUAUUGCAACAAGAACCAGACAAGGGAUGGCUACAAACUUUUCGUUGCACUUGUUAAAGGAAACCAAUUGAAACCUUGGCAUAGUACCUACAAGAUUCUAGUGAGGAAUCUGUUGACGAAGAAAAUGGCUAGAGAUGGUGGGUUUGAGGAGGCUUUGAGUCUUCUGCCAAUGAUGAAAGAUCACGGGUUCCCCCCUUUUGUUGACCCCUUUGUGGAUUAUGUGUCAAGAACUGGAUCAAGGGCCCAGGCUUUCGCUUUCCUCAAGGCUAUGACCUCGAAGAAGUUUCCGUCUACUACUAUUGUUAUUCGUGUAUUUGAAGCUAUGUUGAAGUCUGGAAGGCAUAGCGAGGCGCAAGAUCUGUUGUCGAUGUGCCCAAAAUAUAUCCGUGGCCACGCAGAUGUUCUAGAACUCUUCAAUUCCAUGAAACCUGGUGAAUGUAGUGUAGAAAAAACGUUGGCUGCUUAGCUCUUAGCUUAGUUAUACUCAGCCAUGCUAUUCAACAAGUUUUUUUGUUUCUGGGGGAUGUAAUUCAAAAAACUUUUUUUGCCAGUGAAGUUUCUGCUGUUCCUUUUUUCACAUGUAACACCAGUUAGAUCUUCAUCAGCUUGGUGCACUGGAAAAAUAAGUUAAAAGUGUCUGAUUCCAGCAAUAACAAAGAGGGUGAGGAGAGGAGCAAAAGGGGUUCAAGGUUUGUUUGUUCUGUUUUUUUUCUCUCAAUAAUUGAAGCAACAGGACCACUAGGAUCAUGCCUUCAUCCUUUGCUUGGCUGUGCUGUCAUGUUCUAAUUUCCCAUCUUUGGCAUAUCUUUUUCUUUCUGGAUAUAUUUGCUCCAGAGCUUGGAAUUUACUUUGGAAGUUUGAUAGAUUCA